AUUGAGGCCUUGAAUGUAUUUGCUUCAUUUCAGAACACAAUGCAACAAGCUCAGAAACAGAGAGAGAUGACUACUGCACUGAAAAAAUACAGCAAUUCCAAGUUUGUCAGGUUAUCGUAGAAAAGUCUACAGUGUUGUAUAACAAGUUUAAGAACAUGUUUUUGGUUGGUGAAGGAGAUUCCACAGUCACAUAAAGUGCUGAAUAAAUCUCUUGCUGAACAAAGACAACAUGAGGAAGCAAAUAAAACCAAAGAUUAAGGGCCAAAAAAAAGAGAAUGAGACUCCACCAAAAAAAAAAAAAAAAAAAAGGCUAGAAAAGGAAUGGAUACAAGCCAGUAAUUAACCACAACACAAUGGAGAGAGCAAUGAAGAAAGCAGACAGCCAUGAGGCCAGCACUAAGAAAAAGCCAUCCAGUGAUGAGAGAGAGAGACGGAAAUAUCUCUGAUGGAUUCUACAUUAGA
rnacentral:lncRNA from 1 species